AUGAGGGCACAGACGCAACUCCUCUCCGUGCUUUUGCUUGUCUGGGUCUCAGGUGCCACAGGGGACGUUGUGAUGACCCAGUCUCCAGCCUCACUAGCUGUGUCUCCAGGAGAAAUGGUCACCAUCAACUGCAAGGCCAGUCAGAGUGUGGGCAGCUACUUAAACUGGUACCAGCAGAAACCAGGACAGGCUCCCAAGCGUCUCAUCUAUCGGGCAUCCAACCUGGGUUCUGGGAUUCCCAACCGAUUUCAUGGCAGUGGGUCUGGGAGAGAGUUCACUCUCAGCAUCAGCAGCUUCCAGCCUGAAGAUGCGGCAGUUUAUUUCUGUCAGCAAUAUAAUAGGGCAAACACUGUUGUUGUUAAUGUUAAAUUCAAUGGAUCCCAGGAACAGAUAGUUGCCAACACUUGCAUCUAA